rnacentral:piRNA from 1 species
UGCCAAUCAUGUCUAAACAGAUGGAUGG